AAUGAACGCUGGCGGCGCGCCUAAUACAUGCAAGUCGAGCGAGAAGACGUAGCAAUACGUUUGUAAAGCGGCGAACGGGUGAGGAAUACAUGGGUAACCUACCCUAGAGUGGGGAAUAACUAGCCGAAAGGUUAGCUAAUACCGCGUACGCUCCUUGGACUUCGGUUCAGGGGAGGAAAGCGAUGCCGAGGGUAUCGCGCUCUUGGAUGGGCUCAUGUCCUAUCAGCNGUUGGUGAGGUAACGGCUCACCAAGGCUUCGACGGGUAGCUGGUCUGAGAGGACGAUCAGCCACACUGGCACUGCGACACGGGCCAGACUCCUACGGGAGGCAGCAGUAAGGAAUAUUGCGCAAUGGGCGAAAGCCUGACGCAGCGACGCCGC
rnacentral:rRNA from 1 species